GAUGAACGCUGGCGGCGUGCCUAACACAUGCAAGUCGAGCGGACGGACGAGAAGCUUGUUUCUCUGCUGUUAGCGGCGGACGGGUGAGUAACAAGUGGAUAACAAACUUCUAUUACUUGGGUGAUAACGGGAAGAAAGUGAUGCUAAUACCGGAUAUUAUGUACCGGUUGGAUCAAAAGUGCAAGACAGUUUUGGUGUCAGUAUGAGAUGGAUCCGCGCUGCAUUAGCUAGUUGGUAAGGUAACGGCUUACCAAGGCGACGAUGCGUAGCCGACCUGAGAGGAUGAUCGGCCACACUGGAACUGAGACACGGUCCAGACUCCUACGGGAGGCAGCAGUAGGGAAUAUUCCGCAAUGGGCGAAAGCCUGAUGGAGCAACGCCGCGUGGGUGAUGAAGGUCUUCGGAUCGUAAAGCUCUUUUAUUGGGGAAGAACAUAUGCGGAUUUAUCUGUGGAUGUCUUGACGGUACCUAAACAAAAAGCAACGGCUAACUACGUG
rnacentral:rRNA from 1 species